rnacentral:rRNA from 1 species
CAGCCGCCGCGGUAAUACGGAGGGUGCAAGCGUUGUCCGGAUUUAUUGGGUUUAAAGGGUGCGUAGGCGGCUAUUUAAGUCAGCGGUGAAAGACUCCGGCUCAACCGGAGCAGUGCCAUUGAUACUGGAUAGCUUGAGUGUUGGAGGGGUACAUGGAAUUGAUGGUGUAGCGGUGAAAUGCAUAGAUACCAUCAGGAACACCGAUAGCGAAGGCAUUGUACUGGCCAACAACUGACGCUGAGGCACGAAAGCAUGGGGAGCGAACAGGAUUAGAUACCCCUGUAGUCCCUGUCUCUUAUAC